CCUACGGGAGGCAGCAGUGGGGAAUCUUAGACAAUGGGGGCGAACCCUGAUCUAGCCAUGCCGCGUGAGUGAUGAAGGCCUUAGGGUUGUAAAGCUCUUUUACCCGGGAUGAUAAUGACAGUACCGGGAGAAUAAGCUCCGGCUAACUCCGUGCCAGCAGCCGCGGU
rnacentral:rRNA from 1 species